rnacentral:rRNA from 1 species
GACGAACGCUGGCGGCGUGCUUAACACAUGCAAGUCGAACGGAAAGGCCCUGCUUUUGUGGGGUUCUCGAGUGGCGAACGGGUGAGUAACACGUGAGUAACCUGCCCUUGACUUUGGGAUAACUUCAGGAAGCUGGGGCUAAUACCGGAUAGGAGCUCCUGCUGCAUGGUGGGGGUUGGAAAGUUUCGGCGGUUGGGGAUGGACUCGCGGCUUAUCAGCUUGUUGGUGGGGUAGUGGCUUACCAAGGCUUUGACGGGUAGCCGGCCUGAGAGGGUGACCGGCCACAUUGGGACUGAGAUACGGCCCAGACUCCUACGGGAGGCAGCGGUGGGGAGUAUUGCACAAUGGGAGGAAGCCUGAUGCAGCAACGCGGCGUGCGGGAUGACGGCCUUCGGGUUGUAAACCGCUUUCGCCUGUGACGAAGCGUGAGUGACGGUAAUGAGUAAAGAAGCACCGGCUAACUACGUG